rnacentral:rRNA from 1 species
AGUGAACGCUGGCGGUGUGCCUAACACAUGCAAGUCGAGCGAAAGGACGGUAAGCUUGUGCUCCUGCUGUUAGCGGCUGACGGACGGGUAAGACGUACAUAAGCUACUUCUAAGACUGGGAUGACUACGGGGAACCGGAGCUGAUACCACAUCAUACUUCGUACCGCAUGGUGCAAAAGUUCUACACGGUCUUGCUGUCACUUAUAGAUGGAUCCGCGUUGGAUUAGCUAGUUGGUAAGGUAACGGCUUACCAAGGCGACGAUGCAUAGCCGACCUGAGAGGGUGAUCGGCCACACUGGAACUGAGACACGGUCCAGACUCCUACGGGAGGCAGCAGUAGGGAAUCUUGGACAAUGGGCGCAAGCCUGAUGGAGCAACGCCGCGUGGGUGAAGAAGGUCUUCGGAUCGUAAAACUCUGUUAUUGGGGAAGAACAUAUGCAGAAGUAACCGUGCCCGUCUUGACGGUACCUAAAGAAAAAGCACCGGCUAACUACGUG